rnacentral:rRNA from 1 species
CCUACGGGAGGCUGCAGUGGGGAAUAUUGCACAAUGGGGGAAACCCUGAUGCAGCAACGCCGCGUGAAGGAAGACGGUUUUCGGAUUGUAAACUUCUGUUCUUAGUGAAGAAUAAUGACGGUAGCUAAGGAGCAAGCCACGGCUAACUACGUGCCAGCAGCCGCGGUAAUACGUAGGUGGCAAGCGUUGUCCGGAAUUACUGGGUGUAAAGGGAGCGCAGGCGGGGAAGCAAGUUGGGUGGCAAAACUACCGGCUCAACUGGUAGUCGCACCCAAAACUGCAGCUCUUGAGUGAAGUAGGGGCAGGCGGAAUUCCUAGUGUAGCGGUGAAAUGCGUAGAUAUUAGGAGGAACACCAGUGGCGAAGGCGGCCUGCUGGGCUUUUACUGACGCUGAGGCUCGAAAGUGUGGGGAGCAAACAGGAUUAGAUACCCGGGUAAUC